rnacentral:miRNA from 1 species
GGGGAACAUGGUAUAAUUG